AUGGCCAAGCAAGUAUAUGAGUGCAAUUGGGUUCCUUCUCGCGUCACAGAGGCUCAGCUAGACGAUUUAGUCCUGAUCGGCGCUUUAGGCAGCAAAGAUACCAUCCAUUGGAGGGCUCCUAGCAAAGAAUGCCCUCCCACACCUCAAGAAGGAGAGGUUGUUGUUUUCGUAGAUCACUUAGCCCGGGGCUUUAAGCUGCCCGGUUCUAAAUUUUACCGGGAUGUUUUAGCCGAUUUCCAACUCCAUCCACAAGACACUGGCCCCAACUCUGUUACAAAUAUGUGUCACUUCCAAGUGCUCUGUGAGGCGUUCUUUCAAGAUGAGCCCAUAGUGGAAUUGUUCAGGGACCUUUUCCAUCUAAACCGCCGCACUGAGUUUACUGACGGCUCCAAUACGGAGUUGGGUGGCGUGGCGAUCCAGAAAAGGAAAGAGGUCACAUACCCUCACGCCAAACUGCACAGCCACCCCAAAUAA
rnacentral:rRNA from 1 species